AUAUGAGGAAGAAAGGUGGUUUAAGGUGGAAUAAGGUCGGUUAGGGAUUUCAGACAGAGUGUCUGAAAUCGAAGGGGAACUUGCGACAGAAGGAAGAAGGAGAAGGGGGGAGCAAGGAUAUGGGGAUGAGAUCAAGAGAAUCCAACAAAGGCGAGUAUUCGACCUGGCUUUCCGGUAGAGAGGUAACCAAUAGAGGAAGAGAAUGUUCAGAGGCAGAAGCAUGGGAGCAAGGCACAACGUCACCUUCAAGGACAAGCGACUCUAAAAUCGAGAAUGGAUUGUGUCCAGUAGAUAGAAGCUUUGGUGAAGGACCAUCGGUCCUAGAGACCCUCGAAGGAAGAUGCUCUAUAAUCGAUUUUGGAUUCAUAUGAGAAAGACGAUUGGUGGAGGGGGUGAAAAGGAUGGAUUAUACUACCUCAACCAUUGCUGGCCUCCUUCUACUACUACUGCUAGGGUUGUGGCUGUUGGGGACGUGACUCCUUUCCAAUGGCACUAUCGUUUAGGUCAUUUGUCACUUUCUAGGUUACAGCUCUUAUUUCCUAGUUUGAAGUCUAUCUCUAGGUUAGAGUGUGAGGCAUGUGAGUUGCGUAAACAUCAUCGUGUGUCUUUCCCAUCUCGCUCUGUGUCUCAUAGUUCAUCUUUAUUUUAUUUAGUCCAUUCUGAUGUAUGAGGUCCUUGCAGAGUUAGUAACAAAUUUGGUUUCCGAUACUUUGUGAUUUUUGUGGA